rnacentral:rRNA from 1 species
CUGCAUGGCUGUCGUCAGCUCGUGUCGUGAGAUGUUGGGUUAAGUCCCGCAACGAGCGCAACCCUUGCCUUUAGUUGCCAGCAGUUCGGCUGGGCACUCUAAAGGGACUGCCGGUGUUAAACCGGAGGAAGGUGGGGAUGACGUCAAGUCCUCAUGGCCUUUAUGACCAGGGCUACACACGUACUACAAUGGCCGAUACAAAGGGCAGCGAUACUGCGAGGUGAAGCCAAUCCCGUAAAAUCGGUCUCAGUCCGGAUUGGAGUCUGCAACUCGACUCCAUGAAGUUGGAAUCGCUAGUAAUCGUGGAUCAGCAUGCCACGGUGAAUACGUUCCCGGGCCUU